rnacentral:siRNA from 1 species
AGAGAAAAGCUUGUGAACUCAUC